rnacentral:rRNA from 1 species
AGCGAACGCUGGCGGCAGGCCUAACACAUGCAAGUCGAACGAACCCUUCGGGGUUAGUGGCGGACGGGUGAGUAACACGUGGGAACGUGCCUUUAGGUUCGGAAUAACUCAGGGAAACUUGUGCUAAUACCGAAUGUGCCCUUCGGGGGAAAGAUUUAUCGCCUUUAGAGCGGCCCGCGUCUGAUUAGCUAGUUGGUGAGGUAAUGGCUCACCAAGGCUACGAUCAGUAGCUGGUCUGAGAGGAUGACGAGCCACAUUGGGACUGGGACACGGCCCAAACUCCUACGGGAGGCAGCAGUGGGGAAUCUUGCGCAAUGGGCGAAAGCCUGACGCAGCCAUGCCGCGUGGAUGAUGAAGGUCUUAGGAUUGUAAACUCCUUUCACCGGUGAAGAUAAUGACUGUAGCCGGAGAAGAGGCCCCGGCUAACUUCGUGCCAGCCGCCGCCGUAACAC